AUCGAUGAAGAACGCAGCGAAAUGCGAUAAGUAAUGUGAAUUGCAGAAUUCAGCGAAUCAUCGAAUUUUUGAACGCACAUUGCGCCUCAGAGUAUUCUUUGAGGCAUACCUGUUCGAGCGUCGUUUAGACCAUAAGGCUUUGCCUUGCGUUGAUUGUUCUGGAGUGAUCCAGCGAUCUAAACAUGUUGGCGUCGUAGUUUGACCAAGACACAGCACAAUGUGACACUGAUUCAGACUUGCGAUUUGCUAUUAUCCAAACGACUGUCUUUCACGAAGACGUAGGUUCGACCUCGGAUCAGGUAAGACUACCCACUGAACUUAAGCAUAUCAAUAAGUGGAGGAAAAGAAACCAACAGGGAUUGCCUCAGUAACGGCGAGUGAAGCGGCAAAAGCUCAAAUUUGAAAUCUGGUCCUAGACCCGAGUUGUAAUUUGUAGAGGAAUGUUCGGCGACGCCUAGGUCUGAGUCUUCUGGAAGGAAGCGCCUUUGAGGGUGAGAGCCCCGUAGGACUGAUGGCUGAACCAUGUGUACAUCCUUCGACGAGUCGAGUUGUUUGGGAAUGCAGCUCAAAACGGGUGGUAAAUUCCAUCUAAAGCUAAAUAUUGGCCAGAGACCGAUAGCGCACAAGUAGAGUGAUCGAAAGAUGAAAAGCACUUUGGAAAGAGAGUGAAACAGUACGUGAAAUUGUUGAAAGGGAAGCGCUAGCGACCAGAUUUGGAAAUGACAUUCAGCGGUUCGCGUGGACCGUGUACUUUGUCUUUUACUUGCCAGCAUCAGUUUUCGGGGUUGGAUAAAAGCUUUGGGAACGUAGCUCUGCUUCGGUCGAGUGUUAUAGCCCUUUGCACAAUACAGCCACUGAAGACUGAGGAACGCCUUUUUGUAGGAUGCUGGCGUAAUGGUUGCUAGCGGCCCGUCUUGAAACACGG
rnacentral:rRNA from 1 species